CUGUUUUUUUUUUCAGCCAGUUAUGGGAACAAAGUGUUCUGCUUUCAGGGUGAAUUUCCCACCAGAACACGACCUUCAAACUCAGAAAUUGGGAAAUUUUCAAAGUGACCUGGACACAGGUUUUACAUACUAAAUAGUACUGUGAGAAUACUAAAGGUGAGAAGACUUUGGACCACAGCUUAAUCUUUAAGCAUCAGGCACAUCCUGCACUACUACAACUUGGAGAAGAAGCCACAAGGAGCACUCCCGACACAUAGAGCCCUCUCAGGGAUCUUUGCUUUGCCCUGCUGUUUGCUUGAGCAGGGAAGCUUCCUAUCCCCCAACCACUCAGCCUCAGUCUGCAUCUUGCCAGUCUCUCUCGAAAACCAUUUUUAUUUUUAAAGGUACAACAGAAAUGCCUUUUUGCUACUGUUUUAACAGUAAAUCUCUCCAGUCUGUCUCUAGUCCCAAGUGACAAUUUUAGCUGCUUCUUUUUAUGCUGAAAGUACAUUUUCCCACCCUUAUUGUGUCACAUAUCACAUUAUUUUUUAACUCACUUUCCCAGUGCCCUGAGUAUGCUGUGAGCUCUCGGGGGACACAAAGAUAGGAUGAAAGAAGGUGACAAGGAAUGGUGUCCAGCUUGCCUUUACUCUUCGGCUGUUCAGUUACUUAUCACAUAGGAGCUUCCAAAAUUUUUUAUUGAGUCAAUGAAGCAAUUAAUUACCUGUGGAGUGCGAAGAAAUAUUCAACAUUCGAAUCGUUGCUGUGGAAACCAUAUCUAGGGAUUUCUAUUGGUCUUCACAUUCAAUUGAUUUAGACUUGUUUUCCAAGUUUCUUCUGAAAGCAUUUUUACCUUCAAACAGCAGAAUCGAUAAUGUAUGUUUAAAUGCUCCGCAGCCAACACGUGUGUCUGAUCUAUUCUAUCAAAACCACCAAAAUACCCAAGGCUCUAGGGAUAAAACUAGCGAAGCUCAUAUCUAUAUAAAAAAAAGGCUUUUUGGAAAGUAUAAAUGUUCUCAUCAAAUCAGAUGCAAAAGAAGCUUCUGGGAGGCACACAGGCAUUCAGGUCCCUCUUCAGCUCUAUUUGGCUAUGAAGAUAGAGAGCCGCCUUCUCCACAAGGAAAAAUGCUGCAGACAAAAAAAAAUACUCCAUUAUUAACAUAAACAUAGAGCAAUAUCACACUUCUUAAA
rnacentral:sRNA from 1 species